AGUUAUAAUUAGAGAAUUAAAAAUCCACCAACCAAACAUAAAACUAAAAAUAAUCCAACUAUAUCCUUUAUAAAAGCUACAUUUCAACUGAGAUAACUCAGAAAAACUUGAAGGAAACUGGUAAAUGCCAACAAAGAGAACAUAGAAAUUUUAUUAUUAUUGCAAGACAAAGGAUUAAAAUGGGACAGAAGUAAUCAUGAAGAUGAAAGGUAUAAGCCACAGUAAAAUUUUUAUGGGGUAGGUUAUAUCAUAGUAAACAUUACUGGAAAACACAAGGAAAAGCAGAGUAAUGAGACACACUACUAUGUUUCUUUUGGACAGAUUAGAGUAUUCGUAACCUCUAUCAUUCUUAUCUAACUUAAUCAUUAAAGUUGCUCUAAGAGAUACACAUUGAGAGCUUUACCUGUAAAUAGAAAUGAUGUCUUCUUUGGGCCCCAGGGAAAUUUUUUUUCUAGAUCAUAAAUCUAAACUUCCAGCAAACUGAGAAUAGUCCAAAAACAUUGUUUAACCACAAUGAAAUUUCAAAAAUGUACAUGAAAUUUAAAAACCCAGAUUCUUGUGUGCCCCCAUCUCCUAAAUAACUUGAUUGGAUCAAAAAGGAAGGCAAAACUAACAAAAUGUCCAGAAGAAAUCCCUAGAAAAAAUUAUGGAAAAUGCAUAUUAACAUGGAGAUGUGGGAUGCCUGGGUGGCUCAGUAGUUGAGCAUCUGCCUUUGGCUCAGGGUGUGAUCCUGGGUCCAGGGAUCCAGUCCCACAUCAGGCUCCCUGCAAGGAGCUUGCUUCUCUCUCUGCCUAUGUCUCUGCCUCUCUCUUUUUCUCGCUCUCUCAUGAAUAAAUAAAUCUUUAAACAAAACAAAAACAUGGAGAUGUGAUGAAAGCAGAACACAGAGGGAAAGUAAUACAUUUAAGUUUCUUAGCAAAAGUGAAGAAAAAUCAAGCAUUUCAGCUCCAGAUGUUAAAAAAAUAUGUAAAGUUAUUAAACAUAAAAAUACUAGAAAACAAUAAUAGUACAAUUGAUAAAUUUAAGUGUUAUUUCUAGUUAUAACAGAUACUUUAGCCUAAUUGAGACAAAAAACAAAACAUGAAAAAUUAGGAGUGGAAAGGCUAAUUAGGAAAAAAUGUAUUUUAUGUGACCCUUCCUGUGGGGUAAGGGGGUGUCAGCCAUAUAUAACUUUUGACUCUCCAAAAACUUAGUAGCCUGUGGUUUACCAGAAGCCUUAUUGAUAACACAUUUUGUAUGUUAUAUUAUAUUCUUACAAUAAGCUAGAGAAAAGGAAUGUUAAAAUCAUAAAAGACAUAUACUACAUGCUAAUAGAAAAGAUUCCUCAUAUAAAUGGGUCUGCCCAUUUAAAACGUGUUCAAGAGUCAACAUAUAUUCAUAAAUUUGAAACUCAAAUGGAUACUUUUCUAGGAAAAUAUAAGUUACUCAGAUUAACUUGAGUGGAGAAAACUCAUAAAGAUUGGCAGUAUUAAUAACGCAAAGUGAGGAUUAAAGAGCUAGCAAUUCCUCUCAGCACACAUACCCUCAGUUUUGUUGCUAAAUUCUGCCAAACAGAUCAUAACUAUGGUACUUAUUCUUCCUGAGUAUAGAGAGAUGAGAAACUUUUUCUUAACUUUUUACCACCCUGUUGGUUGUGUUUCAGGCAUCCAUUUUUCCUUGCCUUCUUCCUAAAAAGAUUCCUGAUUUUGUCAGGAAUGCAUUCCCUCCUUAGCUCUAGUGAGUGGUCAGAGCUAAUUAGUCUAAGAGCCAAUUAAUGGGAAGGAAAUUGUUCCAGUACCAUUUGUUGAAAAAACUACUCAGUGGAGAAGAAAUGGGCUUUUUAACAAGUGAGACAGUUGGAUACCCACAUGCAAAAAGAUGAGUCUGGGGCUCUGCUUCACACACAUACACUAAGAUCAACUCAAAAUGUGUCACAGACCUAAAUAUAAGAGCUCAAAAGAUAAAACUCUUAGAAGACAUAGGGCCAGGCAAAUACUUCCUUAGAUGUCACAUGAAAACCUCAAGAGAUGAAGGAAGAAUUUGACGAAUUGAACUUUAUUGAAAUGGAAACUUCUUUGCUUUGGAACACACCCAGUUGCCUCUACACCAUUAGGAAGAGAGCCAAUCCGAUGACAAAUGUACUACCUUGAGAUGACAGAGCAGGGGGCAAGAACCCGAGUUUCUGAAAUCAUUGGGUCUCCGAACUAAAGAGCCUUAAAACUAGCUCCACCUCCAUAGUGAUAAUUAUGUGAGAUGGUCAGUUUCCUUUUUUUUGAAAGUUAGAGUUGGCAUUUCUGUUUUGUGCAGUUGAAUGGAUCUUAAGGGAUACGUAGUGAAAUAAAAAGGUAGCCCUAGAAGAUAGCACAUGAUGUAUGAUAAUACACAUUGUAGGCUGUAUUGGCAGAAUUGCAGAUUAUAAAGAUGACAGAUUUUAUUUCAAAAUAUAGAAUUCUGACAGUCUAGAAAUUUCCUUUUUUAUUUUCCCAACUGCAGGAUUUUGAUAAUGAAACUUAAACUUUAGAAAUUAGAAUCCAGCAGUUAAUUUAAAAAUAUCAAGUGGAAUUUUGUUUAGUAAUAAGAACAGUAUCAUUGAAAUUAUAAACAAAUCAAUGGCAGAAAACUAUGGUUUUCUAUGGUCUAUAAUCUAAAUAGGUGUUAGAAAGUUAUUUGAUAGAAUUUAAUACCUAUUAUUUUAAAAGGAAAACAAGGAUAGAAGAAUUUAAGGGUAUGUUCCAUCUUAAUGUAGUCGAAGAUGUGUCUCAAAUUAACAGUCUACACUACUAAAAAAAAAAAAAAAACAGUCUACACUACUUAUUACAGCAUAACUCUAGAAACGUUUAUUUAAAUAUCCCAAAUAAGGUUAUUGGAGCCACUGAGAAAAUUUUUUGGAAGUGCAACACAAUGUUAAUUUGAUACUGAAAAAUAAACAGCGAAGGACAGAAAGGAAGUAAAAUUAUUGCAAUUCAAAGAUAUUAUAUGGUUAGAAAAACAAAAAAGGUCAACUGAUGAACUAUUAGAAGCAAUUUGCUAGGGUGCUUGUUUACAAAUGAAGUGUAUGAAAGUGUUCAUUGCUUUGAAAACGUCAGGUUCUUCCCCACCCCAGGCCCAUUGCAUAUGGUAUUCCCUUUGCUCAUUACUCAUUACCACACACACCUGGUCAACUCAUUCAGCCUUCAGAUCUCAAGUGACACUGCAGAGAGCUUUGACGUUUCAAAAUUGGGUCCCUUGUGCUCACCAGUUCAGGUUCUGCUUUUCUUUCAUAUAGAACUUACCUAUAAUUUUACAUUAUGUGGUUUUUUGUUACAGCUUGUCACUCCCUUCAGAGAAUGGAGACUGUGUCUGUUUAGGUCACCAUUUUAUAUCUAGCACCUACUAGAUGCUAUCUGCCACAUAGUAGACAUUAAAUAUAUAUUUAUUGGUGAAUGAAUAAAUGCAUAAUAAUUUAAAACAAGUUUUAGGAGUAGCAUACAUGUGACAUUUUAUGAUGCUGUAUAGGCAGUUUCCUAACACAGCUCCUAUCAGCAACCCGCAGCACUGUUGUAGAGAUCAGUCUGGUCUCUCAUUCUAAUAAAGUAAAUAUGAAAUUCAUUUGCAAGUAUACAGGCAUACCUUGGAGAUGUUGCAGGUUCAGUUCUAGACCACCACAGUAAAGCAAAUACUGUAAUAAAGCAAGUCAAAUAGAGUCUUUGGUUUCCUAGUACAUACAAAUGUUAUGUUUACCCUAUACUAUAGUUCAUUAAGUGUACAAUAGCAUUAUGUUUAAAAAAAUGUACAUACUUUAAAAAUAUUGCUAAAAAUGCUAACCAUCAUCUGAGCUUUCAGGGAGUCAUAGUCUGUUUGCUGGUGGAGGGUCUUGCCUCCAUGUUUAUGGCUGCUGACUGAUCAUGGUGGUGGUGCUGAAGGCUGUUGUGGCUGUGGCAAGUUCUUAAAAUAAGAGCAGUGGUGUUUGCUGCACUGAUAGGCUCUUUCUUUCACGAAGGAUUGCUCUGUAGCGUUUGAUGCUGUUUGUUAACAUUUCAUCCACAGGAGAACUUCUUUCAGACGGGGCAUCCUCUCAAACCUUGCUUCUGCUUUAUCCGCUCAGUUUAUGUGAUUUGUCACAGCAUCUUCAAGUGUGGAUUCCAUCUCAAGAAGCCACUUUAUUUGCUAAUCCAUAAGAUGGAGAUCCUUGUCCAUUAAUGUGUGAGAUGGUAGCAGUUCAGUUCCACCUUCACGCUCCACUUCUGAUUCUAGUUCUCUUGCCAUUUCCAUCACAUCUGCAGAGACUUCCUCCACAGGGUCUUGAACGUGUUGAAGUCAUCCAUGAGGGUUGGAAUCAACUUCUGUCAAAGUCCAGUCACUACUGAUAUUUUGACCUCUUCCUAUGAAUCAUGGAUGUUCUUAGUGGUAUCUAGAAUGAUGAAUCUUUUCUAGAAAGUUUUCAAUGGACUUUUCCCAGAACCAUCAGAGGACUUCACUGUCUGUGGCAGCAAUAGCCUCGUGAAAUGCAGUUGUUAAGUAGUAAGACUUGAAGGUUGAAAUGACUCCUUGAUCCAUGGGCUGCAGAAUGGGUAUUGUGUCAGGCAUGAAAACAUUUCUCUUACUGCCCAUCUCCAUCAGAGCUCUUGUUUGACCAGGCGCAGUGUCAGUGAGUAGUAAUAUCUUGAAAGGAAGCUUUUUUUUUUUUUUAAAUUUUUUAUUUAUUUAUGAUAGCCACAGAGAGAGAGAGAGAGAGAGAGAGGCAGAGACACAGGCAGAGGGAGAAGCAGGCUCCAUGCACUGGGAGCCCGAUGUGGGAUUCGAUCCCGGGUCUCCAGGAUCGCGCCCUGGGCCAAAGGCAGGCGCCAAACCACUGCGCCACCCAGGGAUCCCGAAAGGAAGCUUUUUUUCUGGGCAGUAGGUCUCAAUGGUGGGCUUAAAAUGUUCAGUAAACCAUAUUGCGAGUAGAUACAUUGUCGUCCAGGCUUUGUUGUUGGAUUUACAGGACAGGGAGAGUAGAUUUAGCAUAAUGCUUAAGGGCCCUAAGAUUUUCAGAAUGCUAAAUGAGCAUUGGUUUCAACUUCAAUACAGUUACCAGCUGUAUUAGUCCCUGACAAGAAAGUCAGCUUGUCCUUUGGAGCUUUGAAGCCAGGUGUUGACUUCUCUCUAGGUACGAAAAUCCUGAAAGUCGUGGAUGGCAUCUUCUAAUAUUGGACUGUUUAAUCUACACUGAAAUCUGUUGUUGAGUGCAGCCACCUUCAGUAAUGAUUUCACCUAGAUCUUCUGGAUAAUUAAUUGCCUACUAUUUCUAUAUCAGCAUUUACUACAUCAUUUUGUAUUUUUAUAUUAUGGAGAAGGUUUCUUCCCUUAAACUUCAUGAAUCAGCCUCUGCUAACUUCAGACUUUUACUCUGCAACUUCCUCACCUUUCUUAGCCUUCAUUGAAUUGAGGAGAGUUAGGGCUUGGCUCUGGAGUAGGCUUUGGCUUAAGGGAAUGUUGUGGCUAGUUUGGUCUGUAUAUCACCAAUAAGGCUGUUUCACUUUUUUUUUUUUUAGGAUUUUAUUUAUUUAUGAGAAACAGAAAGAGAGAGAGGUGGGGGGCAGAGACAGGCACAGGAAGAAGCAGGCUCCAUGCAGGGAGACUGAUGUGGGACCUGAUCCCCGGACUUUUGGGAUCAUGCCUGGGCCGAAGGCUGGUGCUAAACCGCUGAACCACCCAGGUAUCCCCUUACUUUCUUAUAAUUCAUGUAUUCACUGGACUAGCACUUUUAAUUCCUUGAAGAAGUUUUCCUUUGUAUAUUCUACUUGAAUGUGGUAUGCAAGAGGCCUGGCUUUUGGCCUGUCUCACUGUGACAUGCCUUCAUCACUGAGCUUAAUCAUUUGUAGCUUUUUUUUUUUUUUUAAAGAUUUUUUUUUUUUUUCUUAAAUUCAAGAGAGACUCAGAGGAGAAGGGGGGAGAGAGAGAGAGAGAGAGAGAGAGAGAGAGAGAGAGGCAGAGACACAGGCAGAAGGAGAAGCAGGCUCCAUGCAGGGAGCCUGGUGUGGGACUCGAUCCCAGGACCCCAGGAUCAUGCCCUAAGCCAAAGGCAGACACUCAACCGCUGAGUCACCCAGGCAUCCCUCAUUUGUAGCUUUCAACUUAAAGUGAGAUAUGUGACUCGAACACUUAAAGGAUCUUGUAGAGUUAUUAACUGUCCUAAUUUCAGUAUUGUAUCUGAGGGAAUAAGGAGGCCCUGAGAGAGAGGGAGAUAUGGGGGAAUGCCUGGUCACUGGAGCAAUCAGAACACAACGUUUAUUAAGUUCAGUGUCUUACAUUGAUGUGAUUUGUGAUGCCCUCCCACAUUACAAUAUUAACAUCAAAGAUCACUGACCACAGAUCACCAUAGCAAAUAUAAUAAUAGUGAAAAAAGUUUGAAAUAUGGUGAUAAUUACCCAGAUGUGGCUCAAAGACACAAAGUGAGCAAAUGCUGUUGAAAAAAUGGUGCUUAAUGCAGGGUUGGCAUCAACCUUCAAAUUGUUAAAAAGAAAAAAAAAA
rnacentral:lncRNA from 1 species